AAUGAACGCUGGCGGCAGGCCUAACACAUGCAAGUCGAGCGAGAGGCGGACGGGUGAGUAAUGUAGGGGGAUCUGGCUGAUAGAGGGGGAUAACUACUGGAAAAGGUGGCAAAUACCGCAUAAUAUCGGAUGAACCCAUAUGGGAUUAGCUAGCAGGUGGGGUAAAGGCUCACCUAGGCGACGAUGUCUAGCUGGUCUGAGAGGAUGAUCAGCCACACUGGGACUGAGACACGGCCCCGACUCCUACGGGAGGCAGCAGUGGGGAAUAUUGCGCAAUGGGCGCAAGCCUGAUGCAGCCAUGCCGCGUGUGUGAAGAAGGUCUUAGGUUUGUAAAGUACUUUCAUCGGGGAGGCGUUACCCACAGAAGAAGCACCGGCUAACUCCGUGCCAGCAGCCGCGGUAAUUC
rnacentral:rRNA from 1 species